GGAGAGUAACCCUUCUCACUGUUUAUGUCAUCCAGAUGGAUGCUGCCCCACGUAUGGGCCACAGAAGCCACAUUGACGAUCCUGGAGGGGGUUGAUUUCUUGAGGAGGUCCAACAGAAGGUCUCGACAGGCCAUGAUGACUCGAGCCCCUGAGGACAUCACAGAGAAAAGCUGAUAGAAAUGUGCUUUCAGUCACAAAACAGAGCAGAUAUCCUUCAUGGAUCUGAAAUAAUUGUGUUUACAUAUUCCAGCAAACGUCCUUGCUGUGAAAUGUCCUUGCAUAAUAAUUAAUUUGGUGCUAAACUGGGAUGUAAGGCUGAUGAGCUAACACAAUAGCUGUUUGCCUGGUAAUUACUGUGCAGAACGUCUAUUAUACUAUUCAGAGCAA